rnacentral:rRNA from 1 species
AGUAUCUGACACAGAAACCGUGGAAAGGUCCCUACAUCUWGCGCCCAACGUUUACGGYAUKKUCUACCAGGGUAUCUAAUCCUGUUCGCUCCCCAUGCUUUCGCUCCUCAGCGUCAGUUACGGCCCAGAGAUCUGCCUUCGCCAUCGGUGUUCCUCCUGAUAUCUGCGCAUUCCACCGCUACACCAGGAAUUCCAAUCUCCCCUACCGCACUCUAGUCUGCCCGUACCCACUGCAAGCCCGAGGUUGAGCCUCGGGAUUUCACAGCAGACGCGACAAACCGCCUACGRGCUCUUUAGCGCCCAAUAAUUCCSGACAACGCUUGCACCCUACGUAUUACCGCGGCUGCUGGCACGUAGUUAGCCGGUGCUUUUUCUGCAGGUACCSUCACUUUCGCUUCUUYCCUACUAAAAGAGGUUUACAAMCCKHAGCCGUCAUCCCUAACGCGGCGUUGCUGCAUCAGGCUUUCGCCCCUYGUGCAAUAUUCCCCCCYKCUGCCUCCCSUAGMGCUCUGGGCCGUGUCUCAGUCCCAGUGUGGCCGGUCACCCUCUCAGG